GACGUAGGGCGCGAGCGUUGUCCGGAUUUAUUGGGCGUAAAGAGCUCGUAGGCGGCUUGUCGCGUCGUCCGUGAAAACCUGCAGCUCAACUGCAGGCUUGCGGUCGAUACGGGCAGGCUGGAGUUCGGUAGGGGAGACUGAAAUUCCUGGUGUAGCGGUGAAAUGCGCAGAUAUCAGGAGGAACACCGGUGGCGAAGGCGGGUCUCUGGGCCGAUACUGACGCUGAGGAGCGAAAGCGUGGGGAGCGAACAGG
rnacentral:rRNA from 1 species